rnacentral:rRNA from 1 species
UGGGGAAUUUUGGACAAUGGGGGAAACCCUGAUCCAGCCAUCCCGCGUGUGCGAUGAAGGCCUUCGGGUUGUAAAGCACUUUUGGCAGGAAAGAAACGUCAUGGGUUAAUACCCCGUGAAACUGACGGUACCUGCAGAAUAAGCACCGGCUAACUACGUGCCAGCAGCCGCGGUAAUACGUAGGGUGCAAGCGUUAAUCGGAAUUACUGGGCGUAAAGCGUGCGCAGGCGGUUCGGAAAGAAAGAUGUGAAAUCCCAGAGCUCAACUUUGGAACUGCAUUUUUAACUACCGGGCUAGAGUGUGUCAGAGGGAGGUGGAAUUCCGCGUGUAGCAGUGAAAUGCGUAGUUAUGCGGAGGAACACCGAUGGCGAAGGCAGCCUCCUGGGUUAACACUGACGCUCAUGCACGAAAGCGUGGGGAGCAAACAGG